rnacentral:lncRNA from 1 species
UUGGAGAAGGUGAUAUAUUACUUUUUCUAGAAGCUACCUAAAAUGAAUAUUUAUUUUUUACUAUCUGGUAAUAAAAUUAGUGUAACUAUAUUUAACAAGUUGAAAUUCAAGCAAUGUUACCACCUGAGAUUGUGGAAAUCGUUGGUAAAUCUUAUGGAUUUGGCAUUUCAGUUGAUGAAAACAACAAUUCUUCUAGACUUGAAAAAAUCGAAGCCAUGAAAGUUUGGGGUCUCAAAGAUAUUUUGUGGAAAAGAACCAAGUCCCUGCACCAGAAUUCAACUACUUCAAGGAAGAAGCAAUGCACAAAUGUGUUUAAGAUUAACGAAAGUGGCUGAUUUGAUUCUGAAUUUUCAUAUCUUAUCUAGGUUUUGGUUUUUGCGUUUUACUUCAGCUUAUGUUUUUGCUUCUUUUAAUUUGUUUUUUUAAUUUCUUUUUUGUACCCUUUUAUUUUAUCUGGCAUCUCUGAAAUGAAUAAAAAUUCUGUUUUUUAAUUAUGUUAAUUAUAAAACAAUUACUUAUAUUUCGAUUGUGCCAAUGCAGUUUUUAGCAAUCAUCAAUCAGCAUUCAUUCCCAAUCUCCUAACUAUCCAUAAUAUUACCCAUUCCUAAUCGAUUUCUAAUAGUAUAGUUUGAUUUUCGUUUCAUACCUUUUUUGUUCGUAUCAUGUCUUGCUGCUCCUCUUUUAUAUUGAAGUUUAGCCAUACAUCCUAACUGUAAAAUCCAAAUAUGUGAUUAGCAGAUUAUAUUAUAUUCAAUAUUGUUAUAUGUAGAUUACAGAAGUGCGUAACAUAUAAUCCUACAUCCAUGAAUUGCCGAGCAUAAUAUUGAAUAUUGAUAAUAUUUUAAUUUCCCAUUUAAUGGUAAAUCUAAACAGCAUCUACACCGAAUCUAAACAACAAAAAAAACGCCAUAGCUAACCUAAUACUGUCGUGUUUCCUGUAUUGUUCAUUUUUCCAUUUAACAUGGAAGAAGAAAACACUCGAUUACAUAUAACAAUGGAAGGCAACAGUAUUGAUGAUUCUGAAAAAGCUAACGCAGUGCACACACCUACUGCUAUGUCUAAACUUCAAUCAUCUUCAGGCAGGGUCUUAAGGGAUUUGACUAACUUACCUAUGAAAAAGGAUUUGGGCGGGUCUCUGAAACGCUCUACAUCUAUCCCUCCUCCACAAGAUGUUCCCUGCAAAAGUAAGAACGAUAGUCAGUGUUCAUAUUGAAACAUCAUUUGAUCUCUGUUAUUUUUUUCCUUACAGAGAAAACAAAUACAUCUAAUGUUCCAGCUACAAAGAGAAUCAAUAAUCGCAACAAAGUGUUUAGUAAGAAUAGUUAUAUCAGAUAUACUAAAUCCAGUUUGUGAGACACAUUAUAUUUAUAUUAACAACAUAUUAUUAUUUAUGAUGUUUAGCAACCAACACACAAGCUGGAAUCGAAGUGGUGUCUACUUCUGGAUAUAACUCUAAUAAAAGAAAGAGAAAUCUGAAUGCUUAUUCUGGAACUGUGAAAGUUAACACAAGGAUGGACAUAUCUAGAACCACUAUACCAUUGACCUCAAUAUUUGGAAGGAUCUUAGGAGAUCUUCAAAACUUUUCUGGGAGUAAGGUUCAAAAUGUAUAUCAGUCAGCAGCUGGUCAUAUGUCGGAUCGAACAUAUAUGCACUGCGAAAGUAAGGGUUAUGAAAAAUUUAUACUUUUGGUUGUGUAUAUAUAAAUCAUAAUUUUCUGGUAUGUAAAAGAAUUGUCAAUUUUUUGUAUGCAGAUCAGCUAAAUACAACAAAAUAUCCACCUUCAAAGAGGAACAAAUUUUACCGAGAUUUGAGAGGUAUAUGUUGCUACUUUCAGUUAAUUUUUAGUUGGUUAACUUUUACAUAAUGAUUGAAUAAUAAAUAUGUCUUAUGGAAACCAGUGAAUGAUCAAAUAGCACAGAGAAAAACAGUGUUACAAUCUGGUACUAAGCAGCGCAACAGUGUGUUAAGAAAAGAUGAUGCCAGGUCUACUCCUAAACUAAUGCAGACGGUUGUAACUGGAAAUAAUAACUCCAAAGUAACAUAUCCAUCACAUGUUGGGUAUGCUUCAAAUGAUAACAGCUUCCCUGAAGGUAUAUAUCUCCACUCAAUCAUGUAUUAUAUGAACAAACAAUUAUUAUAUUUUUUUUUGAUUGAAAUUAUAUGUUGCAGUUCCAUCUGAAGGACGAGAUGAUCAAUUUUACGACUUAAGCAGUCAAGAAAGUGAUAAACUCGUGGAUAAUUCCGAACCAGUUAAAUGUUUAUAUAGAGAUGCUGUAUCAGAGAAAGCAAACAUUGAAUCUAUGAUGUCAAGGAUUAGAAAGAUCUGCGAAAGCAAGGGGAAAACCAAAAAAAACUCCGAAUUCACAACCUAUCACAAAAACAAUUGGUGAGAGUUAUAAUAUUAUGAUUAAUAAAGAGUUAAGUAUUACUGAUAUUGAACAUCCAUGUCUAUAUAUUGUGUAGAGUAUGUUGACGAGGGUAAUCCUACUUUCAAAUGUGACUAUUGUAAUGCCAAAAUGUGGUAUGGUGAGCGCCUUGAAAGGAAGAAAAGAACAAAGAAGAAGCCAGUUUUCUCUCUUUGUUGUGGCCAGGGACAAGUUAAGUUGCCUCUUUUAAAAGAAAGCCCCUUGCUUAUACAGAGACUAUUGUUCGGGGAUGAUGACAUGAGCAAGUAUUACCAAGAAAAUAUAAGAGCAAUUAAUAUGCUCUUUGCUUUUACUUCUCUUGGUGGAAAAGUUGAUCGCUCGAUGCCAAAAGGACAUGGACCUCAACCGUUUCAACUACAUGGGGAAAACAUGCACUUGAUGGGUAGUAUGAAACCAGAUGAAGGUGAUUCUGCAAAGUUUUCACAAUUGUACAUUGUUGACAAUGAAAGAGAGGUUGAUGAUAGAGAUUCUGUUAUGAGGUAUAACCCCUAUACCUUUAUUGAAAUAGUGAUUAUUUUAAUAAAAAGGUUUUAUUUGGUGAAUUAAUUUUACAAUUUAUGUUUACAGUAAGUACAAGAAAGCUGCAGACAAGGCAAAAAAGCAUAAUUUGAGGAAGAAAAUUAUCGAGCUUAUUAUAAAUAUGCUGGACGAUGUUAAUCCCUAUGUGAAGCAAUUUCGGUCUGCAAGGGAACGUUUUGGAAGUUCAGGAGCUGCAAAGUUCCAUAUGAGGAUUGUGAACAAUCGUGAAAAAGAUGGAAGGACAUAUGAUACUCCAACUGCGUCAGAGGUAGCUGGUUUGAUCCCUGGUGACUUUAAUUUAGAGAUGGACAAGCGUGAUAUUGUUUUGCAAGAGAAACAAACAGGUUGGCUUAAGAGAAUAAGUGAGAUACAUCCGUCUUAUCUCGCACUUCAGUGUCCGCCCAUUUUUACUUAUGGCGAAGAUGGUUUCAGACUGGGAAUAAAAAAGAGAGCCACACCAGCUACAGAGAAGCUAAAGAGGGAUCACAUUAGUAUGAGACAGUGGUUUUGCUAUCGACUGUUUGAAAGAGAUGGAGAGUGUCAAACGCUGCUGCAUUCAAAAAGAUUGUUCCAGCAAUUUUUGGUUGAUGCAUUCACUACCAUUGAGACUAACAGAUUAAGUUAUUUGAGGCAAAAUCAAGUAUGUUUGAGGUCUGACGGCUAUGACUCAAUCAAGCAGGCUGAGAACCAAGGCAGAACAGAUAUGAGUCAACAAGGAAACCGAUUUAUUCUGCCAGCUUCCUUUACCGGAGGACCAAGGUACAUGAAAAAUAACUAUCUGGAUGCAAUGGCCAUUUGUAGACAUUUUGGUUUUCCAGAUCUUUUCAUCACAUUUACAUGCAAUCCAAAAUGGCCGGAGAUUACUAGAUAUUUGUCUGAACGGAAAUUGAAGUCAGAGGAUAGACCAGAAAUUGCUUGCCGAAUAUUCAAAAUGAAGUUAGAUUCUCUAAUGGAGGAUUUAACCGAUAAUGAGAUCUUGGAAAAAACUGUUGCAUGUAAGUUUUUUUUACAUCAAUCAUGUUUCAUUUUAACACUUUUAAGUAAUAUACUGAAGAUUUUAUUUAUCUUAUUAUGCAGCUAUGUAUACUGUUGAGUUCCAAAAGCGUGGUCUACCGCAUGCUCAUAUAUUGUUAUUCAUGCAUCCCAGUUCUAAAUUCCCUACGACUGACCACAUUGACAAGAUAAUUUCAGCAGAUAUUCCAGACAAAUCCAAAGAGCCAGCGCUUUAUGAAGUGGUGAAAGACACGAUGAUUCAUGGUCCUUGUGGAAUUGUUAAUCCGAAUUCACCGUGUAUGGAGAAUGGCAAGUGUUCUAAGGUGUUUCCGAAAGCGCAUGUAGACAGAACGACAGUAAACAAAGAAGGGUUCCCAGUUUAUAUGAGACGGGAUAAUGAUCGUUUUGUUGAUAAAAAUGGUUUCAAGUGCGACAACAGAUAUGUGAUACCCUGUUAUUCACAUUGCAUCGAGGGCUGAAAUAGUUUUAGAGUCUCUAAAUUCAUCAUAUCUCUGGAAACACUGCAAGGUGCUGAAACUAACAAAGAAUAUGAGGCUGCUAUCCACUGAUAUGACUACCGAAGAGUUAAGAGAAUUGGAACUGUUUUCUCAAUGGAUUUUGGAUGUGGGAGAUGGAUUAGCUGGUGAACCUAACGAUGGUGAUGCACUAAUCACUAUUCCAGAUGAGUUUCUUAUUAAAGAUUCAGAUGAUCCAAUAGCAUCAAUAAGCAAAGAAAUAUAUGGAGAUGCAACAACUCUACAACAGAACAAAGACCCCAAAUUUUUUCAAGAAAGAGCUAUUUUAUGCCCUACAAAUGAGGAUGUGAACCAGAUCAACCAGCAUAUGUUAGACGAACUUGAAGGUACCUAAAUUAUUCUAUUUUUUAAAUCGAGAGAUUUUGUAGGUUGUUUGUUAUGAUUAACUAAAUUGUUGUCUGUAUUGCAGGAGAUGAAAGAAUUUAUUUAAGCUCGGACAGCAUUGAUCCAUCUGAUACAGGAUCUUUUAAUGAUCAGGCUCUCACUCCAGAAUUUCUCAACACUAUCAAAGCAUCAGGUUUACCAAAUCAUAAUCUCCGGUUGAAGAUUGGAUGCCCUGUGAUGUUGUUGAGAAAUAUUGAUCAUGAUGGAGGACUGAUGAAUGGGACAAGGUUGCAGAUUAUAGAUAUGUAUGAAUUUUGUGUGAAGGCCAGAGUUAUUACAGGAACUCAAGUUGGGAAAAUUAUACUGCUUCCUAGAUUGUCUAUUACACCUUCAGACAAGAAGUUGCCAUUCAAGAUGAGAAGAAGGCAACUGCCAAUUGCUGUGGCCUUUGCUAUUACCAUUAAUAAAAGUCAAGGACAGUCUCUCUCAGAAGUUGGAAUAUUUCUACCUAGACCAGUUUUUUCUCACGGGCAACUCUAUGUUGCUAUAUCGAGAGUCACAUCCAAAAACGGUUUGAAAAUCUUGAUUGUUGACGAGGAUGGAAAGCCUCAGAAACAAACCAAAAAUAUUGUUUUUAAAGAGAUUUUCCAAAAUCUCUAAUUUUAGAAGUUUAAAGACUAUAUAUUGAUGUUUUUUAUGAAGAGACUUGCUUUUAUUUCACAACUUUACGUGUUUGAUUGCGCUACAAAAUAAAGAUUACUGGAACUUUAGGAAAAGUUUUGAGCAUAGAAUUACAAUUUACGUUUUACAGAGUGACCAUCUAUGGUUGUUUAUUCUUCUAUCAAAUGCCGCAUAGAAACUAUAUAAUUCUAUUAUAAUGUCUAUGUCAAUAUCGAGCAAUAGCAUCAUAGAGUACUAAUACUUAUCAUAUCUAACAUCUAAGCGUCAGAGGUGUUACUUACUUUGUGUUUUAUCCUCUGUGAACGAUCUGAGUCCAAUGUCCAUCACUACAUACUUUGUGUCAUAUCAUCCCAGCAAAGAAGUUGUAUUUGUAGCAUAUUGCGAGAUAAUUC